GACAGAGGUGCCGAGCGUUAGGCGGAAUCACUGGGCUUAAAGCGCGUGUAGGCGGAAGAGCACGUCCGUUGCUGAAAUCCCCCGGCUCAACCGGGGAACGGGCGCGGAUACGACUCUUCUGGAGGGGCGUAGGGGGACCUGGAACUUCCGGUGGAGCGGUGAAAUGCGUUGAGAUCGGAAGGAACGCCCGUGGCGAAAGCGAGGUCCUGGACGCCUACUGACGCUGAGACGCGAAAGCCAGGGGAGCGAACGGG
rnacentral:rRNA from 1 species